GGCCAGACUCCUACGGGAGGCAGCAGUGGGGGAUAUUGCACAAUGGGGGAAACCCUGAUGCAGCGACGCCGCGUGAGUGAAGAAGUAAUUCGUUACGUAAAGCUCUAUCAGCAGGGAAGAAAAUGACGGUACCUGACUAGGAAGCCCCGGCUAACUACGUGCCAGCAGCCGCGGUAAUACGUAGGGGGCAAGCGUUAUCCGGAAUUACUGGGUGUAAAGGGAGCGCAGACGGCAGUGCAAGUCUGGAGUGAAAGCCCAAGGCUCAACCAUGGGACUGCUUUUGAAACUGUCAAACUAGAGUACGGGAGAGGUAAGAGGAAUUCCUAGUGUAGCGGUGAAAUGCGUAGAUAUUAGGAGGAACACCAGUGGCGAAGGCGGCUUACUGGACCGAAACUGACGUUGAGGCUCGAAAGCGUGGGGAGCAAACAGGAUUAGAUACCCCUGUAU
rnacentral:rRNA from 1 species